UCUGGGGUGAGCAAAACGGUAGGAAGCGCGUUCAUCUGGUUAACUGGAAUCAAGUUUCCCUUCCUGUUGAUCGUGGGGGACUUGGGAUUCGGAGGUGUAGGGAGAUGAAUACGGCUUUUCUGGCUAAGUUGGCCUGGAGAUUACUUCACGAGAAUAGUGGGCUAUGGGCAAAAGUCCUACGCAGUAAAUAUUGUGAUGGUGUUGUUGGUCUGGACGUUUUUGUUGCUAAGUCGGAUGCUUCCAUUGUUUGGAAAGGUAUUAUUCAUGGUGCUCCCCUCUUAAGGCGGGGGGUGUAUGUAUUUCUG
rnacentral:misc_RNA from 1 species